GUGUCAGCAGCCGCGGUAAUACGUAGGAUGCGAGCGUUGUCCGGAUUCACUGGGUGUAAAGGGAGCGCAGGCGGAUUGAUAAGUCGGUUGUGAAAUGCUCAGGCUCAACCUGGGAACUGCAACCGAUACUGUUGAUCUUGAGUGUGGAAGAGGCUGAUAGAAUUCCUGGUGUAGCGGUGAAAUGCGUAGAUAUCAGGAAGAAUACCAAUGGCGAAGGCAGUCAGCUGGUCCAUUACUGACGCUCAUGCUCGAAAGCGUGGGGAUCAAACAGGAUUAGAAACCCUCGUAGUCC
rnacentral:rRNA from 1 species